rnacentral:rRNA from 1 species
UGGUACGCGAGCUGGGUUCAGAACGUCGUGAGACAGUUCGGUCCCUAUCUGCCGUGGGCGUUGGAUGAUUGAGGGGAGCUGCUCCUAGUACGAGAGGACCGGAGUGGACGAACCGCUGGUGUUCGGGUUGUCAUGCCAAUGGCAUUGCCCGGUAGCUACGUUCGGAAUCGAUAACCGCUGAAAGCAUCUAAGCGGGAAGCGAGCCCCAAGAUGAGUCAUCCCUAGGGCCUGGAGCCCUCUGAAGAGCCGUUCGAGACCAGGACGUUGAUAGGCAGGGUGUGUAAGCGUUGCGAGGCGUUGAGCUAACCUGUACUAAUGACUCGAGAGGCUUAACCAUACAACCCAGAUGGGUUUU